GCUGAUCCUGCCGGCGCCACUGCUAUUGGAGUUCGCUUAAGACAUGCGAGUCGAGAGGUGUAAGACCUCGGCGCACUGCUCAGUAACACGCGGAUAAUCUGCCCUAAGGUACGGGAUAAUCUCGGGAAACUGAGGAUAAUACCGUAUAUGUCUGGUAUGCUGGAACGCUUCCAGACGCAAAGGUGACGCCUUAGGAUGAGUCUGCGGCCUAUCAGGUUGUAGUGGGUGUAACGCACCUACUAGCCUUCGACGGGUACGGGCUUUGGGAGAAGUUGCCCGGAGAUGGAUUCUGAGACAUGAAUCCAGGCCCUAAGGGGCGCAGCAGUUACGAAAACUUGCCAAUGGGGGAAACCCCGAGCAGGGAACUCCAAGUGCCUGCACUAUGUGCAUUGCCUGUUCCCCCGUCUUAAAAACCGGGGAAGUAAGGGCUGGGAAAGUCGGGUGCCAGCCGCCGCGGUAAUACCCGCAGCCCGAGUAGUGGUCACUAUUACUGGGCCUAAAGCGUCCGCAGCCCGGACCUGUAAAUCCUUGGGUAAAUCGAACGGCUCAACCGUUCGAAGUCCGGGG
rnacentral:rRNA from 1 species